ensembl:lncRNA
GGAACGUGUAGUCUCUGCUCUUCCUCUCACUUGCCCUCAUUUGAAAUUAUUUAAAUUAGUAGUUUCCUCAAAAGGCUGUCGAUUUGUAUGAAACUUCACAUGAGAAUGAGCUUAUUUAAUAUGCUUGUGCGUGAGGGCUUGCGAAAGUUGGCUGAUGUUUAAAGGGUGGAAGAAGUUAUUGUCCGUGGCUGUACCAAAGUUUAGUUGCUAGUGUUACAAAAUGAGUGAACCCACGCACCUCGGGAGGCACGCAAUCUUCAAAGCAUUGUGUUGGCUGUUCUAAAUUCACCUUUGUGCUGUCAUGCAAAUUUGAAAUGAUUUUGGGUGAGAAUUACUCUUCUGACAAUGUGUAGGAUGUGUGUUGUGGUGCUUCCCUCUAACAAGACAAGUAGCGUGCCUGAAGCAUGGGCUUGUCAAGAUUUCAGACAGCUGACAAUGACAUAAAAUGCCUCAGCUAUUCUGCAGUUUGGCACUUGCCACUUGUUUCCUGUGGUCUUUGAACCCUUUCACUGUGCCACCAAUCCCAUUUCCAAAAUCAGUAUUUAAAUAUGCCUCCUUCCGUGACCACUUUGGAGAUGUUUGAUGGGCUUUGGCCAGUGCGCUGUCCAAGCAAUUCUGUACCAAGGAGAAGGCAGGCCGUGUCUUGCAAAUGGCUUCCAAUCAUAUGCCUUGUGUUUCAAUCACUACUCUCCACAUGCUUCAUACCAUGCCUAAGAGAGAGCUUGAUCACGGUGUUCUUAAGCAAGGUCAUUGAUUUUUAUAAACGGUAUUAU